GGAAUGGCUCAGUGUGGUAUAGCAUCUGCUUUGCACGCAGAAGGUCACAGGUUUAAUCCUGGCAUCUCUG